rnacentral:rRNA from 1 species
CCUACGGGAUGCAGCAGUGGGGAAUAUUGGACAAUGGGCGAAAGCCUGAUCCAGCCAUGCCGCGUGUGUGAAGAAGGCCUUCGGGUUGUAAAGCACUUUCAGUGGGGAAGAAAGCCUUGGGGCUAAUACCCUCGAGGAAGGACAUCACCCACAGAAGAAGCACCGGCUAACUCCGUGCCAGCAGCCGCGGUAAUACGGAGGGUGCGAGCGUUAAUCGGAAUUACUGGGCGUAAAGCGCGCGUAGGCGGUCUGAUAAGCCGGUUGUGAAAGCCCCGGGCUCAACCUGGGAACGGCACCCGGAACUGUCAGGCUAGAGUGCAGGAGAGGAAGGUAGAAUUCCCGGUGUAGCGGUGAAAUGCGUAGAGAUCGGGAGGAAUACCAGUGGCGAAGGCGGCCUUCUGGACUGACACUGACGCUGAGGUGCGAAAGCGUGGGUAGCAAACAGGAUUAGAUACCCGAGUAGUC